rnacentral:rRNA from 1 species
AAGACGGGUGUCAGCAGUGGGGAAUAUUGGACAAUGGGCGAAAGCCUGAUCCAGCCAUGCCGCGUGUGUGAAGAAGGCCUUCGGGUUGUAAAGCACUUUCAUUGGGGAAGAAAGCCUUGGGGCUAAUACCCUCGAGGAAGGACAUCACCCACAGAAUAAGCACCGGCUAACUACGUGCCAGCAGCCGCGGUAAUACGUAGGGUGCGAGCGUUAAUCGGAAUUACUGGGCGUAAAGCGCGCGUAGGCGGUCUGAUAAGCCGGUUGUGAAAGCCCCGGGCUCAACCUGGGAACGGCAUCCGGACCUGUAAGGCUAGAGUGUAGCAGAGGAAGGUAGAAUUCCCGGUGUAGCGGUGAAAUGCGUAGAGAUCGGGAGGAAUACCAGUGGCGAAGGCGGCCUCCUGGACUGUCACUGACGCUGAGGUGCGAAAGCGUGGGUAGCAAACAGGAUUAGAUACCCUGGUAGUC